UACGGAGGGGGCUAGCGUUGCUCGGAAUCACUGGGCGUAAAGGGUGCGUAGGCGGGUCUUUAAGUCAGGGGUGAAAUCCUGGAGCUCAACUCCAGAACUGCCUUUGAUACUGAAGAUCUUGAGUUCGGGAGAGGUGAGUGGAACUGCGAGUGUAGAGGUGAAAUUCGUAGAUAUUCGCAAGAACACAGUGGCGAAGGCGGCUCACUGGCCCGAUACUGACGCUGAGGCACGAAAGCGUGGGGAGCAAACAGG
rnacentral:rRNA from 1 species